rnacentral:rRNA from 1 species
AGUAGUCACGAGUUUGAUCCUGGCUCAGAACGAACGCUGGCGGCAUGCCUAACACAUGCAAGUCGAACGAGACCUUCGGGUCUAGUGGCGCACGGGUGCGUAACACGUGGGAACUUGCCUCGGGGUAUGGAAUAACUCAGGGAAACUUGAGCUAAUACCAUAUAAUGUCUUCGGACCAAAGAUUUAUCGCCCUGAGAUAAGCCCGCGUAGGAUUAGCUAGUUGGUGGGGUAAAGGCUCACCAAGGCGACGAUCCUUAGCUGGUCUGAGAGGAUGAUCAGCCACACUGGGACUGAGACACGGUCCAGACUCCUACGGGAGGCAGCAGUGGGGAAUAUUGGACAAUGGGCGAAAGCCUGAUCCAGCAAUGCCGCGUGAGUGAUGAAGGCCUUCGGGUUGUAAAGCUCUUUUACUCGGGACGAUAAUGACAGUACCGGGAGAAUAAGCUCCGGCUAACUCCGUG